AAAUAGAAAGAUAUAAAAGAAAGAAAUUAAAGAAGGAAGGAAAGAAUUACGUUGAGAAAUUACCUUGGAUAAAAUAAAACUUAACUAACUCCCAUCUUCAGGGUCCACUCAUAUUUAUACUCUCAUGGUUUAAUAGUGGAAAGUCCACCAUGAGAGUCCAAGCCAUUUUAUUGGGCUUGGUCAAUGCAAGCACUUAUAAGGGCUGCAUUAGGCGACCCCUCUUGGAAUACAAUUGUUCUCAAUUGGUUGUCUUCCUCUGCAGGUGGAUAAUAUCUUCUUAAAUCUGCCACAUUGAAGGUUGAUGACAUGUUGAAUUCUGGAGGUAGAUCUACAUCUACUACAAAAGCAUUGUCACUAAUCUUCUUUAGUAGCUUGCAAGGUCCAAAAUUCCUAUCCUUCAGUUUAGAAUAAGAUCCUGCUGGAUAUCUGUCUUUUUUUAAGUGAACCAUUACCAAAUCACCUUCAUUGAAAGUCUGAAAUCUUCUAGACCUAUCAGCUCUUUCCUUGUAGAGAUCGUUGACUCUGAUUAUUGAUUCUUCUACUUGCUUGUGUAUCAAUUUGCUGGUUUCUAUAAUAUCUUCUACCUUCUUAUUUACUGAAGGUGUGGAGGUAACAUCCAUUAUAUUCUUUGGAGGUAACAAAAGGUGCACAUCCCGUUGAUCUAUUAGGCAUGCAAUUAAAGGCAAAUUCUGCUUGAGCUAAGUGUUUAUCCCACUGCUUUGGUUGUUUCCCUGCUAGUGCUCUUAAUAGAUUUCCAAGUGACCUGUUGGCAACUUCUGUUUGCCCAUUAGAUUGUGGGUGACAUGUAGAACUGAAUUUCAGAUUUGUGUCAAAUCUCUUCCAUAAAAUUCUCCAAAAGUGAGAUAGAAAUUUUGUGUCCCUAUCUGAUACGAUGCUAUUUGGAAUGCCAUGAAGUCUUAUAACCUCGUUGAAGAAUAAUUUUGCAAUGUGAGAAGCAUCAUUUGUUUUUUUACAAACAAUAAAGUGCACCAUCUUCGAGAAUCUAUCGACUACUACAAAAAUAGAAUCCAGCCCUUUACUAGUUUUAGGUAGCCCAAGGACAAAAUCCAUAGAAAGGUCAGUCCAUGGUUCUUUAGCUACUGGUAAAGGGGUGUAAAGACCACUAUUCAGACUAGUGCCUUUUGCUUCUUGAUACCUAGGACAUCUUUGCACAAAUUUUUCUACUUCUUUUCUUACUCCCGGCCAAUAAUAUCUGCUUUCUACUUGGGCUACUGUUUUAUCUCUCCCAAAAUGGCCAGCUAAUCCUCCCGAGUGUAAAUCUCUUAUUAAUUGCAGUCUCAAGGAGGUUUGAGGAAUGCAUAGUCUGUUUUCCUUGAAAAGGAAUCCUUCAUUGAUUCUGAAGCCCUUAUUGUGUUUUUUCUGAAAGCAUUCCUCCCAAAUUCUCGAGAAAUCUUCAUCAGUAGGAUAUAAAUCUUUUAGACAAUCAAACGCUACCACCUCUAAUCUUAGGACUGUUAAUAAAGAAUUUUUUCUGUUUAAUGCAUCAACUACCUUAUUACUUGCACCAGAUCUAUGCUUUAUUGUAAAUUCGAAUCUUUGUAAGAAGGAAAACCAUCUGCUGUGCAUUCUGUUAGUAUCAGAAGUCCCAUUUAUUUGUUUCAAUGCUAUAUGGUCAGUGAGGACUACAAACUCUCUCUGAAUUAAAUAAGGUUCCCACACCUUGCAUGCUCUGACAACAGCGUAUAAUUCUUGCUCGUAUGUGGUCCAAUUUUUUUUGUUUGCAGUGAGUUUCUCACUGUGAAAUGCUACUGGAUGACCACUCUGACUUAGUACUGCGCCCACUCCANNNNNNNNNNNNNNNNNNNNNNNNNNNNNNNNNNNNNNNNNNNNNNNNNNNNNNNNNNNNNNNNNNNNNNNNNNNNNNNNNNNNNNNNNNNNNNNNNNNNAAAAGUCCGGAAGAGCCAAUACUGGUGCUGUUUGGAGUUUAUUUUUUAAUUUUCGAAAACUGACUGGAGCCUCAUCUGUCCAUCUGAAUUUCCCUUUCUUUAAACAGUCUGUUAUGGGACUAGCUAUUGAACUGAAUUUUUUUAUAAAUCUCCUAUAAAAGGAAGCUAGACCCAUAAAACUACGGACCUCAGUAACUGAAGAAGGUGCUGGCCAAUUUUGUAGUGCUUCAGUUUUUCUUGGAUCCAUUUUCAUUCCAUGUAUCCCAAUGAUAAAUCCUAGAAAACACAGUUCCUCCGUAAAAAAAUCACACUUUUUCAGAUUUAAUUUUAGCUGAUUUUUCUCUAAUAAUCCGAAAACUGAUUUUACAUCUUUAAUGUGGGCUUCUUUGCUUUUGCUAAAUACUAAGAUGUCAUCAAAAUAUACCACGACGCAGUUUCCCAACAAUGGUUUCAGUACCGCAGUUAUCAAUCUCAUGAAAGUUGAUGGUGCAUUGGAUAAUCCAAAUGGCAUCACCAUCCAUUCAUACAAUCAUUGCCUGGUUUUAAAAGCUGUUUUCCAUUGAUCCCCUUCUCUAACUCUGAUUUGGUGGUAGCCACUGUUUAGGUCCAUUUUAGCUCUAAGCUCCAGCCAAGGCUUCCAACAGCUCAUCCAGUCUUGGAAUAGGAAAUCUGUACUUCACCGUGAUUUUGUUUAUCGCCCUACUGUCCACACACAUCCUCCACUCUCCAUUUUUCUUUGGGACUAAGAGUGCAGGUACGGCACAAGGACUUAAACUCGUUCUGAUCAGACCGUCUACUAGUAGUUGUUCUACUUGAUUCUGAAGAAUUUCAGCCUCUUUAGGUCCUAAUCUGUAGUGGGGCAGGUUAGGUAAAGAUGCUCCCGGAAUCAAGUCUAUUCUAUGGUCAAUUUCUCUCUCAGGCAUAGUUCGAAAAAGCGGGAAGCGCUCCCAAUUUCCAGGGAGCGCUUUUUCAGCUUUGACCGCUUUAGCGUCGCUUAAAGCGGUCAAAGCGGUAGUGGCAUAUGUGUAAAUAUUUGCAAUUUUUUUAUAAAAAUCAUUAUCUAAAGUCUGAUCAUCUAUACGAGCAUCUACUUCAUGGCAUAUCUAUAUUAUCUAGAGGCUCUCUGAUAAUUUCCGCAAUUUCAGAGAGGAGGUUUGAGUGGAAGUGAGGGUUAGGGUAGAAAGGGCAAAAAAAAACUAUUUAAGUUAUCCCUACACGGGUAAAUGGGUUGCCCCAACCCGUUUACCCGACCCGACCCAAGUACCCACUGGAAUAAAGCGUUUGGCAAAGCGGUCCAAAAAAACCGCUUUGCCGCUUUUUUCGCUUAAAGCGACGCUUAAGCGUCGCUUUUUGAACUAUGCUCUCAGGUGGUAGUGAUACUGCUGAAUUAUUUAAGGAGAUAAGUGGAAACUCCUUUAGAAUUUGUUGUACUUCCUUAGGUAGUUCUUUUUGCUCAGCCUCUUCUUUUUCCAGACUUUUUAUUACUAGAGCCAACCCCAUAUCUUCAUUUCUCAGUUCUUCAGAAAAAUCAGACCUUUGUUGUAGUAGGAAAUUUGUGUUUCUAGCCUUUUUGCAAGUCGACUCAGGAGGAAGUGGUAGUAGGGCAAUCUUCCUACCAUCAGCUUGAAAAACAUAGGUGUUUAAUUUCCCAUGGUGAGUGGCAUUUACAUCAUAUUGCCACGGUCUGCCCAAAAGUAUGUGUGUUGCAUCCAUAUCAACUACAUUACAUACUACUGUAUCGUUGUACCUCUUACCAAUGGAUAGUGGGACUUUGCACAAAUAUCUAAUUUUUGCUCCCUCGCUAUUUUUGAUCCAUCCUAUUGUAUAAGGUUUAGGGUGUUCCUCAAGGUUGAGUUUUAACUUUUUUGCUGCCUUCUCAGAUAUUAGGUUAUCCGUACUCCCAUUGUCUAUUUUUAUCUGACAAACUUUCCCUUUAACUGUUCCUUUGGUGCGAAAUAAAUUUGUCCUUUGAAUCUGGUCAGAAAUUUUAGGAGUGUGAAAGGAUCUAUGGAUCAAGCAAGAUAGACUUGAUCCUUCAUCGGGGUCAUACUCUUCUGCGGCCUCACUGGACUCAUCUGAAUUAAUGCCAUCUUCAUUCUCUCUCAACCCUUCACAGAAUUUUACAGAUCCCCUCCUAGGGCAGUUAUUAGCUUUGUGGCCCAUUUUUUGGCAUUUAUAGCAUCUUAUUGUGUUCCAAACUUGGUCUGAGACCCCUGAUUUUUUUUCAUUCAGAUCUGUAUUUUUCCCUUCAGGCGUUGGCAGAAUUCCUUUGUCCUUGGAAUAUAUAGGUUUACUAGUUGAAGCUCCAGGUGCAAAUGAUGAGUAUUUGUUUGUCUGUCUCUCUAGUUGUUCGGAGAUGCUUACAGUCUUCAUAAGUGACAUUGGGGACUGUAAAAUGACUUUUUCUUGAAGUGCUGAUUUUAAUCCCCCAAUGUAUCUCGCCAUUUGUUGUUCUUCGGAUUCAUUAAGGUUGUUUCUUGCUCCCAACCUAUGAAACUCCUCUGUAUAAUCAGCUACUGACCUCUGUCCCUGUAUGCAUUUCUGAUAUUUUGUAAAUAAAAUGGUUUGAAAUUCCACCGGAAGAAAUCUUUGUUUCAGCAUUCUCUUCAACUUGUCCCAAGUUCUUAUAGGUCUUUUUUGGAAUCUAGCCCUAUUCAUGGUGGUCUGAUCCCACCGCGCAGCAACUCCACUUUUAAAUUUUAGUGCCACUAAUUUCACUUUUUUUGAAUCUGGAAUUUCCAUGCAGUCGAAGAAUCUUUCUACUUCUGAAAUCCAAUCUAAGAAUUCCUCUAUAUGUAGUUGUCCAUUGAAUUCAGGCAGUUUCAUUCUUAAUCUAUAAUUUCCAAAUUCAUUUCUUUGAUUUCCUACAUUGCAAGGUUCCGGAUGCGCCUCUGCGCGAUGCGCCGUCGCCUGGAGCAUCUGAGCAUAUGCGCUCAGAUGCGCCAGUGACAUUUUCGUAAAUAUUUAUAAAACUAUAGGAAAUUAAUAUUUUUUUAUAUAUCUAAAUUAUAUUAAUUAAAUUUUUUAGUUAAAAAUAUAUUGGAUAGAAAAAUUAUUAUAAUACAUCUAUUUAUUAAUUAUUAUAACACCCUAUAAUUCAUUGUAACACCAAGGUUUAAAAACCAGUUAAUCAUUUAGGGGUAUUUUCGUAAUAAUAUAGCUCUAUAAAUGGCUAGGGUUUCUUUAAACUUAUAAAAGAGAGGCUUUUAUAAAAAGAAAAUAAUAAAUAACCCAAGAGGCUUUUAAAAAAUAAUAACGUAAUGGGCUGGGCCUUCUUUAAUACAUCUACAACAUAAAAAAUACUCUAUAAUAAUAAUUUAUUUAACCACACAUUUUUAGUCCCACAUCGAUAGAAUUCAAAAAACACAAAGAAGGUUGGUCUAUAAAUAAAGAUUCAUUUUGUUCAUUUUGUCUAAAACAAAUAUGAAGUCUAAAGAGUGGGAGGAGCUUAUAUUAAAAAUAAUAUAACUCUUUUCAUGGACCAAUGUAUAAAUUUUUAUACUAAAAAUUUAUAAGGUCUUAAAAUAAAUUUUUUUUGCCUUUUUUUUAAAAUAAAAACAAAACACUGUUUUAAGUUAUUUAAAUAACUUAAAACAGGCCUGGAUCCGGGUCGGAUUUUACCCGGAUCCGACCUGGAUCCGGCUAAGGGAGAUGCGCCUGACGCAUCUCCCUCUGGGGGCGCAUCAUCGCAUAUGCGCGCAUAUGCGCGCGCACCCGGAACCUUGCUCCAUUGUACUCUUCAUACCUUUGUAAUGCUCUCCCUCUUGGAUAGUCUCGACGGCCCCUAUUUCUUCUUCUCUCGUACUGUAAUAAAUCUUCUUCCUCUUCUGAAAAAUCUUCCUCAGUCUGUCUAUUAAAAAGUCCUCCCUGUCUGAAAUUUUCUUGCUGCCUAAAAUUUUCCCCCUGUCGGAUCUGUUCUUCCAAGCGAUCCCUAGCUGUGGGUGGGUUUCUUCUUCUGAAAUUUAUUGUCGGUUCUGUCUGUCCAUUCACUGGCGGAUCAGCUCCUCCAUGCGGCUGAAUAGGUUGCAAAUUCUGUUGCAUUGUUUGGAAGCCGUCCCUAACAAAGGUUGUUAAAUCGGUUAGGGCUUUUGCCAACCUCUCAAACUCUUCACGUGUGACGUUCUCGGCCAUCACUUGAUUUUGUUCUCACAAAUCCGUCCAGAACAGACCGCAAUUCCUGUCCAGAACAAGUUACAAAUCACUUGUUUCUAACUCGUCCAGAACAAAUCAAUGGAAUAAAUCGCAAAGGAUUUUUUUUUUCCACGUGUGCUGGAAUAAAUCGCCCAGAAAUCCGUCCAGGUGAAUCGCAAACGUGUGCUGAAAUCCGUCCAGGAAUAAAAUCGCAAAUGUGAAUGUGUGCUGAAAUUCGCAAAUGCAAAUCCGUCUGACUGUAAAUCGCAAAUCCGUCUGAAUGCAAAUCGCGAAAUCCAAAUCCGUCUGAAUCGCAAAUCGCAAAUCCGUUCUUGGCCAACUGCAGAUCGCGAAUCUCUCCUAGUCUGAUACCACUUGAUGUAGGCCUUGAACGAUGUAUGGGAACAGAUUCAAAGAAUGGAUGAAAUCUGUCCAGACUUGUAUUGCAAAACAAUGGAACAGUGAAUUAGCGAUUAGGGUUUAUGUUGCCCUUGAAGUUCGAUAAUUUUCAAAUUAGAUUAUCCUAUUCCAAGGAUAAUCGUGAUGUGAAAAUAGGAAAGAAUAAUAAAAAUCGGUAGAAAAUAGAAAGAAAUAAAAGAAGGAAGGAAAGAAUUACGUUGAGAAAUUACCUUGGAUAAAAUAAAACUCAACCAACUCCCAUCUUCUGGGUCCACUCAUAUUUAUACUCUCAUGGUUUAAUAGUGGAAAGUCCACCAUGAGAGUCCAAGCCAUUUUAUUGGGCUUGGUCCAAGGCUCGAUUAGAAUCGAGCCUAUUAUUAAUGCCAACACUUAUAAGGGCUGCAUCACUUUUUCAGUUGUUGUUUGAUUUAUAGUAUUGGAGAUUGAUGGUUGUUCAUUUAUAAAAGAACCAUUAUUAGAUAUGUUACUUAAGUUAUCAUUAAUCAAUGUCAUUUAUGCCAAGAUUUUGAUUGUUUGUGUUGCUUAACUCUAGUUAAUCAUAUAUAAUGUUGUAUCAUUUAUUAAAAGAGGUAUGAUUGUUUUGUUGUUGUUUGAUGGAUUUUCAUCAGUAGAUGUUAUCUUGUUAUCUCAUCUUUACUUAUUAUAAUUUCAUCAUCUGAAAAAAAAUUUGGAUCA
rnacentral:lncRNA from 1 species